rnacentral:rRNA from 1 species
CCUACGGGUGGCAGCAGUGGGGGAUAUUGCACAAUGGGGGGAACCCUGAUGCAGCGACGCCGCGUGAGUGAAGAAGUAUCUCGGUAUGUAAAGCUCUAUCAGCAGGGAAGAAGCAAGACGGUACCUGACUAAGAAGCCCCGGCUAACUACGUGCCAGCAGCCGCGGUAAUACGUAGGGGGCGAGCGUUAUCCGGAUUUACUGGGUGUAAAGGGAGCGUAGACGGCAUGGCAAGUCUGGAGUGAAAGCCCGGGGCCCAACCCCGGGACUGCUCUGGAAACUGCCAUGCUAGAGUGCUGGAGAGGUAAGUGGAAUUCCUAGUGUAGCGGUGAAAUGCGUAGAUAUUAGGAGGAACACCAGUGGCGAAGGCGGCUUACUGGACAGUGACUGACGUUGAGGCUCGAAAGCGUGGGGAGCAAACAGGAUUAGAUACCCCUGUAGUC